CUGCUUCAGCAGCACAAAAAUUGAAAUGAUACAGAGAAGAUUAGUGUGGCCCCUGUGCAAGGAUGCCACAUAAUUCAUGAAACUUCCCAUGUUUUU
rnacentral:snRNA from 1 species